AUUAAAUCAAUGAUGUAAGAAUAGUAAGCUUAAAAAUUGUUAUUUCAGAGAGCUGAGGAUUGCUGGAAACUCAGUAUAACAAAUAAGCUGAAUGGACUUACUAGAGCUUUUCUGAACGAGAUAUUUAGUAGGAAAGGACGGCUAAUCCCCGUAAACGGAUUAAAGUGUAGAGUGUAAUGCUCUAAACAGGUGGUGGCACCGCGGUUUUAUUAAUAAAUCGUCCCCUAG
rnacentral:ncRNA from 1 species